rnacentral:lncRNA from 1 species
GAGAACGAUGGAUGUGUAGACUGUAAACCAAAACAGAAGACAACCACAACCAGUCGAAAUACAGAGAAGUGAUCAUAGGUGCCCAGUUCCAACUGAUUUAUUUACAACAUAACUCCUGCACUUAAGACUCAUGGAGCAUCACAGAAGAAGGGCCAGAAAGAAAAGCAGUGGACCAGGAAAGCUGCUGUGGGAUUGUGUUCUCUAGAAAUGACGGAGAAACCUCACACGGAUACUUCAACAAUAUGGCUGCCUAAACAAGACAAGAAAGAGUACAACAGCAAUAGACAUACUAACGUGGAAGAACAGUACUCAAACACUGAGCCACCUCUACA